AUGGUGGUGCUGGUGAAUGGAUGGCGCGGAGGCGCACCACCACGCCGGCCUGGCCGUGGCGGCGGCCGGAGUUGGAGAAGGAAGGGUGAGGGAGAGAGAGAUGUGCCAGGCCCAAAAGGGGAUCGGGGCUGCCUACGGAUUUUGACCCCUCCCGAUCAGAUCUGCCCAUAUUGCACUUUUGCCCUUCUCUUCUCUUCUUUUGGCUCAAGUAGAUCCCUCUCCUCUUUAGCUAGCCCCUCAGGUUACUUCUUAUCAUCACACAUAAGUCCAUUCUUCCUUCUCUUCUUUUCACUUGACUAA
rnacentral:rRNA from 1 species